GACAGGCGAUGCAAGCGUUACUCGGAAUUACUGGGCGUAAAGCGUCUGUAGGCUUUCAGCCAAGUCUGGGGUAAAAUUUCGGGGCUCAACCCCGAACACGUCCCGGAAACUCGCUGAAUUGAGCAAUGGAGAGGUACCUGGAAUGCCGUGAGUAGGAGUAAAAUCCGUAGAUACACGGUAGAACGCCAAAAGCGAAGGCAGGGUACUAGUCAUUCGCUGACGCUGAGAGACGAAAGCGUGGGGAGCAAAGGGG
rnacentral:rRNA from 1 species